rnacentral:tRNA from 1 species
GCCGCGAUGGUGAAAUUUGGUAAACACGUUGGACUUAAAAUCCAAUGACCCGAAGGGGUUUUGCGGGUCCGAGUCCCGCUCGCGGUA